rnacentral:rRNA from 1 species
UACGAAGGGGGGCUAGCGUUGCUCGGAAUCACUGGGCGUAAAGGGUGCGUAGGCGGGUCUUUUAAGUCAGGGGGUGAAAUCCUGGAGCUCAACUCCAGAACUGCCUUUGAUACUGAAGAUCUUGAGUCCGGGAGAGGUGAGUGGAACUGCGAGUGUAGAGGUGAAAUUCGUAGAUAUUCGCAAGAACACCAGUGGCGAAGGCGGCUCACUGGCCCGGUACUGACGCUGAGGUGCGAAAGCGUGGGGAGCAAACAGG